AAAUUGAAGAGUUUGAUCAUGGCUCAGAUUGAACGCUGGCGGCAGGCCUAACACAAGCAAGUCGAGCGGUAGCACAGAGAGCUUGCUCUCGGGUGACGAGCGGCGGACGGGUGAGUAAUGUCUGGGAAACUGCCUGAUGGAGGGGGAUAACUACUGGAAACGGUAGCUAAUAC
rnacentral:rRNA from 1 species